CUGAGGCCAAGUGGGUGAAGAGAGCAGCCACAUAAUUCUGGCAGCAGCUGCCCAGAGAGUUACCUAGCCAGACGUGGACAGACAUGGUACUUCCUGGAAGCUGGAGGCAGCAUGAAGGGGUCAAUCUUUCUCUGCAACCCUCGAUUUUGUGACAUGAAGCUCAUGAGCAACUGGAAGGCGCAGGGACCACAAGAAAUAAAGACCCCUAGUUGGUAACGAGAGAAGAGAAUGAUGCAAACCCAUAGACAGAUGCCAAACUGUGGAAAGAAGUUUUAACAUCUCUGGCUGCAGCUGUAUCUCCAAACAAAUAUCAUUUUGUUCCAGGAAAAUGCUUUAAAUAAAUUCCUCUUAAUGAUGCUUGUUUCUUACAUUCCAAAAAUUAAAGCUGGA
rnacentral:lncRNA from 1 species